GUGGGGAAUCUUGCGCAAUGGGCGAAAGCCUGACGCAGCCAUGCCGCGUGAAUGAUGUAGGUCUUAGGAUUGUAAAAUUCUUUCACCGGGGACGAUAAUGACGGUACCCGGAGAAGAAGCUCCGGCUAACUUCGUGCCAGCAGCCGCGGUAAUACGAAGGGGGCUAGCGUUGCUCGGAAUUACUGGGCGUAAAGGGCGCGUAGGCGGACAGCUUAGUCAGAGGUGAAAGCCCAGGGCUCAACCUUGGAAUUGCCUUUGAGCCGGGCGGUCUUGAGUUUGGGAGAGGGGAGUGGAACUCCGAGUGUAGAGGUGAAAUUCGUAGAUAUUCGGAAGAACACCAGUGGCGAAGGCGACUCACUGGCCCAAUACUGACGCGGAGGCGCGAAAGCGUGGGGAGCAAACAGGAUUAGAUACCCUUGUAGUCC
rnacentral:rRNA from 1 species